rnacentral:rRNA from 1 species
GAUGAACGCUGGCGGCAUGCCUAACACAUGCAAGUCGGACGGGUAGUGGUGUUUCCCGUGGCGGUCGGGCGAGUAACGCGUAAGAACUUGCCCUUGGGAUGGGAACAACAGCUGGAAACGGCCGCGAAUACGCCGCUGAUAGAGGAGCAAAAGGAGGAGUCCGCCUGAGGAGGGGCUGGCGUCUGAUUAGCUAGUUGGUGGGUCAAUAGCUUACCAAGGCGGUGGUCAGUAGCUAGUCCGAGAGGACGAUCCGCCACACUGCGACUGAGAGCCGCACUAGGCUCCAUCGGGAGGCGGGAGUAAGGAAGAUCCAGCAAUGGGCGGAGGCCUAAGAAGGCAUUCGGAUGGGGAAGUAGAAGGCCUAGGGAGCAAGAGCUUCAUUUCCCGACGAAGAAGCAUUGACGGUAUCUGGAGAAUAAGCAUCGGCUAACUCUGUG